GUUAGCACGGCCGCCGGAAUCUUUAGUCCUGUUUCUCGGAGUGUAAUCGAAACACACAUUUUUACGUGCGCAAAUCGCCGUGAUUGAAACAAUUUAUAGUUUUUAUUUGUUGGCACGAAUUGCCAAGUAUUUAUAUUGUUUUAUGUUGGCGCUAAUCUCCACGUAAAUUAUAUCAUAUUUUUUAGUCUGUGCACUGUGCGCUUUACGUAUAUUACCUAUUAUUGUUUUAUUAGCCGCGUGCGCUGAUCGUCGCGGGCGUAUUAUUGUAUUAUUGCGUUCGCCGCCUUUAUUAUUGUUCCGACAUAGUGUGUGUCCCGUAUUAUUAUUAUUGUUUUAUUUUUCUAUUUUGUGUGUGUGUGUGAACCCUUUUUUUAUUAUAUAGCUAGGACCAGCUGGCCAGACUGCGCUCCACAAAUUAUACUUAUGGCGAGAGAAAAACUACAGCGUCCAUGGUCACAACACCGUUUGGGGAAGGAUUGGAGAUGGUCGUUAACGUCAAUCAAAUACAUUUCGAUAUUUUGUUUUCAACAAAUUUCAAACAAAUUUUUUUAGUACAAAUAUGUACCAAGAUAUAUAGUUUAAGUGUCACUAAAACAAAAAUAAAUACAUUUAGUUUGAACUUAUAGUUCGUAUAAUUAUUACAACAUACCAUUUUGUAGGUAUAAUGCGAUGACAUGAGCAAAGCGAGAUGAGUGGACAGCAGGACAACAUUUGGUUCCUGUAUCCUGCGACCCACAGUUUUUUAUACAGUACUUACAUUGACCAAAGAUUAUAAAACAUACAUCUUUGAUUUAUACAAUUAUACGUGAAGAUACCUUCUCAAGUGAAAAAGCUAAAAGUUGUUCUUUUGACGAACAACUAUUCAACCACAAAUUGCAGGAAUUCAACGAGGAAAAAUCCCGGAAAUAAAGUGAUGCAUCAUGGGAAAUUGCGAUUAUUAAUUAGGUCUCACUAAAUAAUUAUUUAUUUAACUGAGUAAAACAAUGUAUUAUUAAGACCUAUAGUUUUCUAAUUAUAAUAUAAUAAUAUAAAAGUGUUGUUUGGAGGAAAUGUUUAACGUUCUCUGUAUUUA